rnacentral:rRNA from 1 species
UACGUAGGGUGCAAGCGUUAAUCGGAAUUACUGGGCGUAAAGCGUGCGCAGGCGGUUCUAUAAGACAGAUGUGAAAUCCCCGGGCUCAACCCUGGGAACUGCAUUUGUGACUGUAGAGCUGGAGUACGGUAGAGGGGGAUGGAAUUCCGCGUGUAGCAGUGAAAUGCGUAGAUAUGCGGAGGAACACCGAUGGCGAAGGCAAUCCCCUGGACCUGUACUGACGCUCAUGCACGAAAGCGUGGGGAGCAAACAGG